AAACUGCCAGCCUAUGGCCACCAGUUGGAUCCAGGAGAAAGUGUGGCUGUCUCAGGAGGUGACUCAGAGUUAACAGAGAAGCUGGACAGCAGGUGGGGACCCCAGGCUGUACCCCUGUUGAUCUGGACAUAUUUCUAGGUGGACAAACUGAGAGUGAUGUUCCUGGAGAUGAAAAAUGAGAAGGAAAAACUCAUGAUCAAGUUCCAGAGCCAUGUAAGAAUGUCCAUGCCAUUCCAGGGCCAUUUCCUACCAUCGUUAGCAAAUGCCCCGCCAUGUUUCCCCUGUCCUACCAAGCUUGCUCUUUUAUGCAUAGGACUUAUAAAAUCUGUUUGCUUUCUAGCGAAAUAUCCUAGAGGAGAACCUUCGGCGCUCUGACAAGGAGUUAGAAAAACUAGAUGACAUUGUUCAGCAUAUUUAUAAGACCCUGCUCUCUAUUCCAGAGGUGGUGAGGGGAUGCAAAGAGCUACAGGGAUUGCUGGAAUUUCUAAGCUAAGAAACUGAAAGCCAGAAUCUGCUUCACCCCUUUUUACCUGCGAUACCCCCUUACCCCCAUACCAAGACCAACUGGCAUAGAGCCAACUGAGAUAAAUGCUAUUUAAAUAAAGUGUAUUUAAUGAAUUUCUCCAA
rnacentral:sRNA from 1 species